UACGAAGGGGGCUAGCGUUGUUCGGAUUUACUGGGCGUAAAGCGCACGUAGGCGGAUCGUUAAGUCAGGGGUGAAAUCCCGAGGCUCAACCUCGGAACUGCCUUUGAUACUGGAAAUCUUGAGUCUGGGAGAGGUGAGUGGAACUGCGAGUGUAGAGGUGAAAUUCGUAGAUAUUCGCAAGAACACCGGUGGCGAAGGCGGCUCACUGGCCCGGAACUGACGCUGAGGCACGAAAGCGUGGGAGCAAACAGG
rnacentral:rRNA from 1 species